rnacentral:lncRNA from 1 species
CAGUCUGCGGACCUGACCUGCCUCACUCUUGAGGGUCAGGACCUAGCAUCUGUAGUUUCCCCAGAUUCUGAGUGCAGAGGACCUGGGUCCGUGUGCUAUGCUGGUUACUGUACCCACAUCACUACAGGACCCUUCUAUAGGUGGCGGCCUGGCUGGCUUGGAGGUCUCAAGAGCUGCAGGAACCUCAGACCAUGAACCCAUGAGCUUAGGGAACAAAGGCUGGCGCCUCAGUGCAGCUCCCAAAGCCGCCUGUCCACAUUCCAAUGCCAGUAAAGAGAAUACCCCCCAGAAAAAAAACGGCUGGAAAAGGUCAUGGCUGCUGCAAGCAUUAUAACCCUGUCUACCAGCCCCCUCUGUGUGGGGGGCCCAGCUGUCACGUUUAGUUCAGAAAUCUGGCUUGGAGCCCUGGAAGGAAGCCGUGGUUCAUCCUCCAGGCAGCUACAGCAGUAGCAGUAACAGAGGAGACUGGGGCUAGGAUCUGACCAGCAGCCAGUCUUCUCCAUCCACUCCAUUACCCCUGCUGCCUCCUGAAGCAGCCCACUUUCUGCUUGGGGAGCCCACUCUGAGAAAAAAACAAGAACUCAUUCAGGUCGUAUUCCAGUGCCUAUAGAAGAGCUGUGGGAAGGUGUUGCACACAGUGUCUGGGAUGCAGAGACAUAGCCACUUGGUGCACCUGGGGAGGCAGACAGCCAGUGUAGAGUGAGAACAAGGAGGACUUCACUACACGGAGCUCUAUGUUGGCGUGGCCGUGCUGCCUAAUGGGUUGUUCAGCCUGACCCCAGUGUCUCCUAUCGUCCUCAUGCCACUCACCUUUCCUCAUCUGGAGCUCCCAGAGUUGCUGGAACCCCCCCCCCCCCCCCCCGCUCUUCCCAACCUGUUACAGCCAGCUCUUUGUCUCUGCCUCCUAAGCUCAGCUGUUCAGCUGUUCCACAGGCAUGCCACAGUGACCAUGCCGAUCAGAGCUGUCUGGCCACCUGGAGCCACAGGCCAGGGCCUACAUACCAGCCCUGCCUGCCAAGCUCAGGGCCAAUCCAAGGAAGCGCCAAAAAGUUGGUGCCAAAAAGUGCCAGAGAGUUUAUAGCAUGGGACCCAUGGUGCUCAGUUUGCUGCUGGAAGAAAGCCUGCUAGCAGUUUCUGGACUGA